rnacentral:rRNA from 1 species
AGAGUUUGAUCAUGGCUCAGAUUGAACGCUGGCGGCAGGCCUAACACAUGCAAGUCGAGCGGAAACGAGUUAUCUGAACCUUCGGGGAACGAUAACGGCGUCGAGCGGCGGACGGGUGAGUAAUGCCUAGGAAAUUGCCCUGAUGUGGGGGAUAACCAUUGGAAACGAUGGCUAAUACCGCAUGAUGCCUACGGGCCAAAGAGGGGGACCUUCGGGCCUCUCGCGUCAGGAUAUGCCUAGGUGGGAUUAGCUAGUUGGUGAGGUAAGGGCUCACCAAGGCGACGAUCCCUAGCUGGUCUGAGAGGAUGAUCAGCCACACUGGAACUGAGACACGGUCCAGACUCCUACGGGAGGCAGCAGUGGGGAAUAUUGCACAAUGGGCGCAAGCCUGAUGCAGCCAUGCCGCGUGUGUGAAGAAGGCCUUCGGGUUGUAAAGUACUUUCAGUCGUGAGGAAGGUAGUGUAGUUAAUAGCUGCAUUAUUUGACGUUAGCGACAGAAGAAGCACCGGCUAACUCCGUGCCAGCAGCCGCGGUAAUACGGAGGGUGCGAGCGUUAAUCGGAAUUACUGGGCGUAAAGCGCAUGCAGGUGGUUUGUUAAGUCAGAUGUGAAAGCCCGGGGCUCAACCUCGGAAUAGCAUUUGAAACUGGCAGACUAGAGUACUGUAGAGGGGGGUAGAAUUUCAGGUGUAGCGGUGAAAUGCGUAGAGAUCUGAAGGAAUACCGGUGGCGAAGGCGGCCCCCUGGACAGAUACUGACACUCAGAUGCGAAAGCGUGGGGAGCAAACAGGAUUAGAUACCCUGGUAGUCCACGCCGUAAACGAUGUCUACUUGGAGGUUGUGGCCUUGAGCCGUGGCUUUCGGAGCUAACGCGUUAAGUAGACCGCCUGGGGAGUACGGUCGCAAGAUUAAAACUCAAAUGAAUUGACGGGGGCCCGCACAAGCGGUGGAGCAUGUGGUUUAAUUCGAUGCAACGCGAAGAACCUUACCUACUCUUGACAUCCAGAGAACUUUCCAGAGAUGGAUUGGUGCCUUCGGGAACUCUGAGACAGGUGCUGCAUGGCUGUCGUCAGCUCGUGUUGUGAAAUGUUGGGUUAAGUCCCGCAACGAGCGCAACCCUUAUCCUUGUUUGCCAGCGAGUAAUGUCGGGAACUCCAGGGAGACUGCCGGUGAUAAACCGGAGGAAGGUGGGGACGACGUCAAGUCAUCAUGGCCCUUACGAGUAGGGCUACACACGUGCUACAAUGGCGCAUACAGAGGGCGGCCAACUUGCGAAAGUGAGCGAAUCCCAAAAAGUGCGUCGUAGUCCGGAUUGGAGUCUGCAACUCGACUCCAUGAAGUCGGAAUCGCUAGUAAUCGUGGAUCAGAAUGCCACGGUGAAUACGUUCCCGGGCCUUGUACACACCGCCCGUCACACCAUGGGAGUGGGCUGCAAAAGAAGUAGGUAGUUUAACCUUCGGGGGGACGCUUACCACUUUGUGGUUCAUGACUGGGGUGAAGUCGUAACAAGGUAGCGCUAGGGGAACCUGGCGCUGGAUCACCU